GUGCUUGCUUUAGCAGAACAUAUACUAAAAUUGGAAUGAUACAGAGAAGAUUAGCAUGGCCCCUGCAUAAGAAUGACAUGCAAAUUCGUGAAGUGUUCCAUAUUAAA
rnacentral:snRNA from 1 species